rnacentral:rRNA from 1 species
AUUGAACGCUGGCGGCAGGCUUAACACAUGCAAGUCGAGCGGGGGAAGGUAGCUUGCUACCGGACCUAGCGGCGGACGGGUGAGUAAUGCUUAGGAAUCUGCCUAUUAGUGGGGGACAACAUCUCGAAAGGGAUGCUAAUACCGCAUACGUCCUACGGGAGAAAGCAGGGGAUCUUCGGACCUUGCGCUAAUAGAUGAGCCUAAGGCGGAUUAGCUAGUUGGUGGGGUAAAGGCCUACCAAGGCGACGAUCUGUAGCGGGUCUGAGAGGAUGAUCCGCCACACUGGGAAUGAGACACGGCCCAGACUCCUACGGGAGGCAGCAGUGGGGAAUAUUGGACAAUGGGGGGAACCCUGAUCCAGCCAUGCCGCGUGUGUGAAGAAGGCCUUAUGGUUGUAAAGCACUUUAAGCGAGGAGGAGGCUACUCUAGUUAAUACCUAGGGAUAGUGGACGUUACUCGCAGAAUAAGCACCGGCUAACUCUGUGCCAGCCGCCGCCGUAA